rnacentral:rRNA from 1 species
AGAGUUUGAUUCUGGCUCAGAACGAACGCUGGCGGCGUGGAUAAGACAUGCAAGUCGAACGGGAGAAUUGCUAGCUUGCUAAUAAUUCUCUAGUGGCGCACGGGUGAGUAACACGUGAGUAACCUGCCCCCAAGAGUGGGAUAGCCCCGGGAAACUGGGAUUAAUACCGCAUAAAAUCGCAAGAUUAAAGCAGCAAUGCGCUUGGGGAUGGGCUCGCGUCCUAUUAGUUAGUUGGUGAGGUAACGGCUCACCAAGGCGAUGACGGGUAGCCGGUCUGAGAGGAUGUCCGGCCACACUGGAACUGAGACACGGUCCAGACACCUACGGGUGGCAGCAGUCGAGAAUCAUUCACAAUGGGGGAAACCCUGAUGGUGCGACGCCGCGUGGGGGAAUGAAGGUCUUCGGAUUGUAAACCCCUGUCAUGUGGGAGCAAAUUAAAAAGAUAGUACCACAAGAGGAAGAGACGGCUAACUCUGUGCCAGCAGCCGCGGUAAUACAGAGGUCUCAAGCGUUGUUCGGAAUCACUGGGCGUAAAGCGUGCGUAGGCGGUUUCGUAAGUCGUGUGUGAAAGGCGGGGGCUCAACCCCCGGACUGCACAUGAUACUGCGAGACUAGAGUAAUGGAGGGGGAACCGGAAUUCUCGGUGUAGCAGUGAAAUGCGUAGAUAUCGAGAGGAACACUCGUGGCGAAGGCGGGUUCCUGGACAUUAACUGACGCUGAGGCACGAAGGCCAGGGGAGCGAAAGGGAUUAGAUACCCCUGUAGUCCUGGCAGUAAACGGUGCACGCUUGGUGUGCGGGGAAUCGACCCCCUGCGUGCCGGAGCUAACGCGUUAAGCGUG